AGUCGGCGACCUCGACCCUCUUCGCUGAGGGAGUCCACGACCUGAGGUGUGUGACAUCCUCCCAGGGCGGAAAAAGACAGUGUGAGCCCUGCACAGACCAUUGACACUGUGGUGGCCUUGUCGUCUAGGAGCUUCAGGAGGCGAGCCUUAAGAGGGCGUUUUCUUGGGUUUGCCUACUUUAUCGUAACUCACUCGUGCACAAACAAGGCAACCCCUGGGGUUCGGUUUUCUUCGCCAUCUGAGAAGAGCAGCGACUGUGCCUCGCCCUGAGAGAGAAGCACACACCACGCAGCCUGCUGCCUCCAGCACAGCGUUCUGCGCACGAGCUGAAUGGAUUUUGCCUGUCCCAACAUCUCCUGAACAAGCUCGUGAAGCCAAAUGUAUUCUUCAUGUCGAAUUCUUGUGAUUUUUUUUUUUUUUAGGCCACUGUGCCUGUGUACGGGUCUCGUAGAGCUAAAAAUCCAGAAGUCAGAGAAAUUGCAUUCCUUCCUAGAAAGUGGAAGAAUCUCCACUCCUUGGCUUGACCUCUUUCUUCAAAGCCAAGGAUAGUGCAUUUCCUGAGCCUUCCACAAUGGGUUUGGGUUUUGGGGGGGUUUGUUUGUUUGUUUGUUUGUUUGUUUUGAGCUCACCAGAAUAAUCUUAUUUUCAGGUGUACACUCAUAACUACAUCAGAAAAGGCCCCUUGACAUGUAAGAUAACAUGUAUGGGUUCCUGGAUUUAGAGACACAAAUUCCUCUUGGGGAUCAUUAUCCUGCCUACUGGAGGAUCUUAUUUGUAUAUACUAUAUGCCUAUUCAACAAAGAGAUCUCCAUUCUUUGCAGAUACUACUAAGACUAGUAGACUAUUUUCAAAGGAGUGCUAUAUUAAGAGUGUCACUUGUUUGCAAAGCAAUAGGAAAAGCUUUAUAAAGAGAAACAUUUAGGAAUAUUGAUUUAGCUAGUAACAACAGCCUGAAUAAAGGGGAGUAACUGCAAAAAAUAAAGAGUUAAAUAAAUUUUGGGGGGAGGCAGGGAUUUUGAGACAGGCCUUCUCACUGCGUAGCCCUAGCUAUCCUAGAACUCAUUCUGUAGACCAGGCUGGCCUUUGCCUGUUGGUUUAAGAUGUAAGGCCUUACUGAAACUACAAGUGAUUUGAUAAAUCCAAAAUAAACAUUGAAAUGAAAGAAA
rnacentral:lncRNA from 1 species